rnacentral:lncRNA from 1 species
CAUUAUCCAUGCUUUGAGAUGAUGAAAGUGCAUCCAAAGUUGAGGUUUGCUGAUUGGAGUGAAAAGCUGGGGCUGUGCCAGAGAAAGAGGGAGCAGCUGGGGCUGUGCCAGAGGAAGAGGGAGCAGCUGGGGCUGUGCCAGAGAAAGGCGUAGCAGCUGGGGCUGUGCCAGAGAAAGGCGUAGCAGCUGGGGCUGUGCCAGAGAAAGGCGUAGCAGCUGGGGCUGUGCCAGAGAAAGAGGGAACAGCUGGGGCUGUGCCAGAGAAAUCAAUAAUGGGGUAAGAAAUAGAUGAAGGAGACGCUGAAAUUGCAGGGGCUGAGGCAGCAGGGCCAACAAAGCUAGUUUCAUUUGUAGGAAAUUCAUUUCCCAAUUCCUCCCAUUGUUCCUUAUCAACCAUUUGAUUCACAGGUUCAGGGGGAGCAUUGGGAUUUUGAGGUUGAUGAAAAACAUCAUCCUCAAUAGGUUGAACAUUGAUAUCUAUAACCCGAGGCCCUUCAGAACUACCAACACCAAGGGGAAUAUUCAAGUUCAGACCUUGCGAGCUAUCAUAAAAUGAGUCCUUGAGAGAUGCAUCGACCUUCAAGU